rnacentral:rRNA from 1 species
CCUACGGGUGGCCGCAGUGAGGAAUAUUGGUCAAUGGGCGGAAGCCUGAACCAGCCAAGUCGCGUGCGGGAUGAAGGCCCUACGGGUCGUAAACUGCUUUUGCACGGGGAUAACACCCUCCACUUGUUGAGGUCUGCAGGUACCGUGCGAAUAAGGGCCGGCAAAUUCCGUGCCAGCAGCCGCGGUAAUACGGGAGUCCCGACCUUUAUCCGGAUUUAUUGGGCUUAAAGGGAGCGUAGGCGGGCGUUAAAGUCAGCUGGAAAAUCGCGCGGUUAAACCGCGCCCCGCAGUUGAAACUGGAUGCCUUGAGUACACAACAGGCAGGCGGAAUUCGUGGUGUAGCGGUGAAAUGCAUAGAUAUCACGAGGAACCCCGAUUGCGAAGGCAGCUUGCCGGGGUGCGACGGACGCUGAGGCUCGAAGGUGCGGGGAUCAAACAGGAUUAGAUACCCCUGUAGUC